rnacentral:rRNA from 1 species
GUACCCAUCCCGAACACGACCGUUAAGCCCUCUAGCGCCGAUGGUACUUGGACCGCAGGGUCCUGGGAGAGUAGGACGCCGCCAAGC